UGCAGUCGACGGUAACAGGAAGUAGCUUGCUACUUUGCUGACGAGUGGCGCACGGGUGAGUAAACUAUAGUUAAUGUGCCCCGAAGACUGGGAUAGCCACUGGAAACGGUGAUUAAUACUAGAUACACCUCUUUAGCUCAAGCUAGAGAGGGAAACGUUUUUUCGCUUCGAGAUCAGACUAUAUCCUAUCAGUUAGUUGGUGAGGUAAUGGCUCACCAAGGCAAUGACGGGUAGCGGUUCUGAGAGGAUGAUCCGCCACACUGGUACUGAGACACGGACCCGACUCCUACGGGAGGCAGCAGUGAGGAAUAUUGCACAAUGGGGGAAACCCUGAUGCAGCAACGCCGCGUGGAGGAUGACGCAUUUCGGUGUGUAAACUCCUUUUAUAUGUCAAGAAAAUGACGGUAGCAUAUGAAUAAGCACCGGCUAACUCCGUGCCAGCAGCCGCGGUAAUACGGAGGGUGCAAGCGUUACUCGGAAUCACUGGGCGUAAAGGACGCGUAGGCUGUUUUGCAAGUCAGAUGUGAAAUCCAAUGGCUCAACCAUUGAACUGCAUUUGAAACUGCUAGACUAGAGUAUGGGAGGGGGAGAUGGAAUUAG
rnacentral:rRNA from 1 species